CACUACAAAAAAACGCUAGAUUUAGCUACGGAAUUAGCUACGGAAUUAUUUCCGUAGCUAUUCUGUGACGGAAUUACAACGGAUUAGCUACGGAAAUAAUUUGUUGAAUUUAGCUACGGAUUUAAAGACGGAUUUCCGUAGCAAUACUUUUGCUACGGAUGUAUUCCGUCAUUAAAGUAAAAAAAAUUACUAAUUUUUGUUAAAAAAAUUUAGCUACGGAAUAACCGUAGUUAAAUCCGUAGCUAAACUAAAAUUUAAUUCGUAGCUACGGACUCCGUCCGUAGCGGGAUAUUGUGACUUAUUAGCUACGGAAUGUCCGUAGCAAAAUCCGUAGCUAAGACCAAAUUUCAAAACUAAAGGUGCAGCCGCGUUUUCCUUCUGAUUUUUCCCUCAUUGCAAACCUAGCGUUUCUCACUCUUCCAGCGCCGUUCAUCCUCGCCGCGCCGUGGUUGCUCCGCCGUUUCUCUCAAAAUCAUCGGCGCCGCCACCGUGCUCGCUCACCGUCGCAGCCGCCGUCAGUUUCUAAGCCGUGAAAAUUUUGGAGAAACGCAAGCAAGAGUGUGGUGGGAAGGAAACAGAGCCAGGAUUCAACAGCAAUACAUGAACAAUUGGACAUACUAUCCAGCUGGGCUCCAAACCCUCCGAGUUUAUGAGAAACAGGGAAGAUGUUGUUGCUCUAUUUGAUUUAUACAAAGACGAGGCUUAUAUCCUGACAGAGCUUGAAGGAAGAUAUUGUGUGGCACUGAAAGAGAGGUCAUCCCCACAAGACAUGCUGAGGUCAUUGUAUCAGGUUUGUUAUUUGUACUGGUUGGAGAGAAAUGCUGGAAUAAAGUCGAGCAGUAUCGUAGAUGAUUGCAGAGGCGGGGGAAAGCUUCAGAUAUCCUUGGAUUAUGUACAAAGGGAAUUCAACCAUGUCAAAAAGGAUAGUGAGAUUGCAGGUUGGGUUGUAGAUGGCCUCAUUGCGAGGCCUCUUCCUAAUCGAGUUCGGGUAGGCGAUGAAACCGCAUCUUCUGCUGGCUGACCUAUGGAGCAACAAAAUGGUAAUCCUUUACACCAUAUACUGAUGAUGGCAAGAAUAGUUGAAGAAUACAAAGAGUGUAUACUGAAAAAAGCUUCAGUUAGGUAGUGGUGUCGAAUUUGUAAUAGUCUAAUGUAGAGGUAGCUGAUGCACUUCUUGCUCAUCUAACUGCGCUUCACCUUCUCUUGGGUUGUUCCCAAUCUCACACCAUGUACAUGUUUCUGUGAUGUUGAUGCUCUAUACAACGAUUCUUGAUUUCUGAUUCAAACAAA